rnacentral:rRNA from 1 species
AUACGGAGGGUGCAAGCGUUAAUCGGAAUUACUGGGCGUAAAGCGUACGUAGGCGGUUCGUUAAGUUAGAUGUGAAAGCCCCGGGCUUAACCUGGGAACUGCAUUUAAAACUGGCGAACUAGAGUUGAGUAGAGGGGAGUGGAAUUUCAGGUGUAGCGGUGAAAUGCGUAGAGAUCUGAAGGAACACCAGUGGCGAAGGCGACUCCCUGGACUCGAACUGACGCUGAGGUACGAAAGCGUGGGUAGCAAACGGGAGUAGAUACCCUUGUAGUCC